rnacentral:sRNA from 1 species
GGUGGUCAUGGCUGCCGGAAGAGGAGCUCAUGAAGUGGUAGGAGCUGGAGGUAGAAGACGACGUCGGCUGCGUCGCAAAGAGUAUCGGGAAGUUCUCCAUCUCGACCAAGCGAUCGAUCGAGCUCGAUAAGCGAGAAUAGCUCAGUUGGAUAGAUCGAGCUGAUGAGAGAGAUUGAGAAUUCGAAGAGACUGAAAGAGUUUCACAAGUUACAACCAGGGUUAUAUAGGGAUUAGUAAGCAAGCUAAAUAAACCCUCUACUUAAUACUUUUCUGUCCUCUUCUUUUCUUCUUUUUUUUUCACUUUGACUAUCGAAAUUGAUUGAAGGGCGGCUUCCUGUGCGUGCGUGCUAUGUACUACCACACAAAUCAUACGUGUCGUCACAGAAAGAAAGAGAGAGAUGGUUUGAGAGAGCUAGCUAGCUAGGUUCUCUCUCUAUGUGUGUGUUUACUGUGUGUGGUUGUCGUAAACGGCACGGAAAUUUGUGCUGGAUUUUGACAAGGAACAGUAAUAAGUGGCUGUCACAUGUUUAAGUAGCAUUUUGCUCCUCUCCAAUAGCUUUGCUUGUCCGUGCAUGCUUGCUACGAUUUGGAUACCCUAGUUAGAAACAUGUCGACACACGAGUGUAUGCAUGCCCAUUGACCGAUUAAUUUUCUGGGAUUGGUUCAAUUUGGAGAUGAUUUAAUUAGUUACCUAUUUUACAUGCAAGAACAUAAUUAUUGUUGAUCCGUGCAUAUUUUUACCCUGCAUUUAAUUAAAGCGGUUAUCAAAACAAGUUAUUUCUUGGUCAUCAGGGUCAUGGUCAUGUGUCCGUUGAAUUUAAUUAUAUGGAUACACAUAUAUAUGUAUGUGCAACACUAGCUAGCUAGAUGGAGUAGUAAUAAGAGUGUUUAGUAUGGAAUUUCCUUUUGUAAAAGAUGCCGGCAGAGAAUAAAGUUUAUUAGAACCAAUGCAUGCAUGUGGGGAAUAAAUGCGACACAUUCAAAGGCCCCAUCAAUUAAAUUAAGUUCGAGAAGGUUAGAGCAAGUUUAAUAGUAUAGCCCACUAUUAGCUCUAAAUCAUCUAUUAGUCAAUGUAAUAACCAGUUCAUAUAAUAGUUGCUUACUAUACAAAUAAUACCUGGUCUCACCUGUCAUAUCGUCUUAUAAUCCGUGCUGCAGCUGGCUACAGAUCUGUAGCCUGCUGCUCUUCUCACUCUUCAUUUAUCUCUUUAAAUUAUGUUUAUAGCGGGCUUAUAGCCUGCUAUUGUACCUGCUAUUAUAGUACAUAUUUACAUGUGCAUGUGAUCAAUUUUCUAUGGUUACCAUGAUGAAAUUUGCUACGGAUAAGAGAAUAUCUUAACUAGCUUUGUCAGUAAGCUAGAACAUGCGACCAUUUCGUGAACGAAAGUUAUAUUAUGUCCUAACCUUUAGAAGCAUCAAAUUUUUAAUAAGCGCCUUACUUAUAAAAUAAACAGCUACCACGAACAUAAUCUAACUGGCAACAAGUUAGGUAUAUAUACUUGGGUAAGAAGCUCAGGUUAAUGAAAUUUCAAGUUUUCAACCAGGUCAAAGCAAAAUAUUUAAGGUUGACUGGCAAGGCACACAUUUGAAUUUCUUAGAAACUUCAAUACAGAUCUUCGUUUAUCUGAAGCAUCUCUGUGUUCUCACAUGUCGUUGAACAGUACCCCCGACAAAAUAAAAUUUGAUAGAUUGUACUGUCACUGCUGUGUCUAGAGUUUAUAAACAUAUAUGCAUGGAUGAUAUAGGUUGAAUUCUAUCAUAUACAUAUAUGAUGUGGUAGCAAAGAUAAAUUAUACUUGUCCAUCUAACUACUCCUAAAUAUAAAAAGAAAUCAAGUUUUGAUUCAAUUGGAUGAACAAACUAAUGUCACAAAAACAAAAAGUUCUGACGAUCGAGUUACAUUGAGUGCAAAGCUCGAAAAGAAAAUGGGACUGCAUCAACUGGAAGUACUACCAACAACCGGCCAAAUUAAUUCCAUCUUAAAGUAUAGCACUAAGCUGGUACUUUAUGAGACACAAUCUAGCUAGUAUUACUACGAAUAUGGACAACAUAUUACUACUUAGUACAACUUCGUUCGUAGUACUGGAUUGUCUCAUCCAAUACUAGCUAUGUUGAUAUAUUAAUUUUAGGAAAGGAUGAGUAAAAGUUUGCAUGCAUAUAUAUAACUAAUAACUUGGUCAAUCACUGCUGAUUACUACUACUAAAGUAUAAGUACGUUCACUCUUUGCCUACCUAGAAAUAUAUAUUCCCUCCGUUUCUAAAUGUUUGACACCGUUGACUUUUUACGUACAUAUUUGACCAUUCGUCUUAUUAAAAAAGUUGUGAAAUAUGUAAAACUAUAUAUAUACAUGAAAGUAUAUUUAACAAUGAAUCAAAUGAUAAGAAAAUAAUUAAUAAUCACUUAAUUUUUUUCAAUAAGAUGAAUGAUCAAACAUGUUUAAAAAAGUCAACGGCGUCAAAUAUUUAGAAACGGAGGGUCGAGAGUAUAUAAUAAGAAAAAACCACAGCAAAGAACUCGUAUGCAUGUGUGCAGUCCAAGUUGUCCCGGCCGUACGCUAGCUUCGCUCAGCAAACGACACUCCGCGUCUCGUGCUUAAUUAGCUAGCUCUUCGUCUACCUGUACUUGUAACUUGUGCAGCUACAUUUCAACGACCAAACAGUGCACAGAAUACUACUACUACCUCCAUCGCAUUUUAAGUGCAGUUAUAGAUUUUCGUAUCUAACGUUUAAACAUUAGUCUAAUUUAAAAAAAUAUGAAAACAUUAAAAAAAAAUUAGUCACACAUAACUAUUCAUGUUUUAUCAUCUAAUAACAAUAAAAAUACUAAUCAUAAAAAAAAUUAAAUAAAAUAAAAGGUCAAACUUAACAUUGGAUAUAAACAGUGUAAAACUACGAUCUUUCUGGGAUGGACGGAGGUAAUAGUACUUUGGAUUUUCAGUCAUGCCUACUAGUACACAUAACACGUUAUUACUUAUGUCCAUGUACCUAACAACGUGUGUGUAGGGACGAUGUUACUGUUAAUUUGAUCACAUCAUCGUGUACGUCUGCUAUGAUGGAUAUAUAGCUAGCUAAGCUUUCAGAGUCAUGCCCAGAAUAUGUAUUGCAUGCGUUGAUGAAAUAGUUACCUGAAUCAAAUUGUGCUGAUCGAUCAGUCGAGAUUUCUGAACCUUGACUUGGAAACAUGUCCGGAUGCAUGCAUGUGAAAUAAUGACAAAAUAUGGGCUGGGACGAGGAGAUGGAACAGUGUACGUGCUGGCAAUAAUUAAUGAUCAAGUGUCGUCUUCAAACCAUGCACAUGUGAUGGUGCAGGCUAAGCUGUAGCCUUCCUUACCCAUAUAUGCAUGCAUGCUGCCUAAAAGUGUGGCAUGAUGGCGGCUAACAUUCUAAUUAAGAAUUAGGAGUUGGGUGCUAACCUUCAUUCGUGGUAUAUCUAUCUAAUUUUGGAGAGCUGGAUAUAUAAAUAUAUACGAAGAUGUAUGUCAGUCGUCACCUCCUCUAACUCCGGCCAGACGACGACGGCACUGAUAAGUUACGAUUUGAGGUUGGGUCAACAUAGAAGAGGAUAGGAGAGACAGAAGAGAGAUUGUUUCUUCAAGCUUAAUUAGAGGGGUAAUUAUCGGUGGCAGUCAAAUCAGUUGAAUACGGUGGUAAUGGACGAGUGAUAAAGCAGCGGAGGCCCCAUCGGAGCUGCGGGGCCGGCCACAGUAGCAGUAGGGGAGAGGGAGACCAUGGAGUUGGCAGCAGUGGCGUCUUUUGGUAGGGGAGCCGUUAGAGACGGACCGCGGAAGAUGAUGGGGUAGGGCGCCUAACUUGGGAAGAACAAGAAGGGGGAUAAGGGAUCGAGGAGAAGGGGAGGAGGCUGGCCAAGUGGUUACGGGCCUCGUUAGUGCCAUUAAUGGCAUCGGAAAGGCAAUGGGGAUUGGAGGGUGGUGAUAGUGAGCUUGUUCUACCAAAGCAGGUCGCAUGAGGAGAAGAAAAACAAAGAGAGGGAUAAGGUUAUUUCUUAGCAUGAAUCUCAAUGCAAUUCUAGCCAUUCAAAAAGCGAUUGAGAUCGUCGGGAGGUUUUCUAUUAAAUGUUCCAUAGGUAGUCCCUUAAAAAUAUUAUAUAUGUGAAUGUAGGGUCGUAAUUGCAUGAGUCUGAUGAGCUGCCAUAAUAUAUGAAAACUAUUUAUUUACUCGAAGUAAUAUUUUUACACAAUUAAGUAUUCCAAUAACUGAAAAUUCAGGCACCUAUAAAUUCUAAACGCACUACUCUCUCUAUGGGCGAAAGUGGAAGAUUAGGCAACUUUAGUACAUCAAGCAGAGGCACGUGGAUCAGAUCCAAUUGUCCAAAUCAUUUCAGUUUGAAUAUUGUGCCAAAGCUCAAGAAACAUGUGAAUCGUGCUCUUUAUUUUUUUCCUCAUUUCAUGCAUGCUAAGCUACUAAGCACAUCGAUCCCUUGCAUCUGGCACUCUAGCUAGCUUCGUGUGAUGAAAAGAGAGACAUGACUUGGCUCCAUGCAUGCAUGUAUGCAUGGGUACGAUAAACGUCAAAAUUAAUGCAAACCAAAGUUGAUCUCUUACAAGCUAGGGCAUGAAUUGAUACAAGAUUAAGUACACAGAAAUAUAUAGAACAUAUAUAUAAUACUGUUUCUGGUAGUGAUAGAUUGUAUAACACAAAGUAGAGCUCCACAGGAUAAUUGAUUUUCUUCUCAAUCAAUCCUAGUGCAUACAUAUAAAUCAACCUUAAUUUUGUAUCAGAUAUACAGUAUACUAUCGAGCAGUUUUUUAAGCCACAUAAGUUAAUUGUUAGUCAAAGCAUGGGCACAGAAGUUGAUCAUCAGCGAUGACAUCAAUCGAACAAUUAAUUAGCUCCACACUAAGGGUAGCUAGUUAAUCUGUUUAGUUACUGUAAUAUUCAAUCCCCAUCGCUUUUGUACUCCAAUCUUAAUUGACCAAUAUAGUCUAUAUGUACAACACCAAAUUGAUAAGACGUACCAUAUAGUCAUAUAUUAGCAAUAUAAUAUACUCCCUCCGUAUUUUAAUAUAUGACACCGUUGACUUUUCAACUAACGUUUGACCAUUCGUUUUAUUCAAAAAUUUCAUGUAAAUAUGAAAAUAUUUAUAUUAUGCUUAAAGAACAUUUGAUAAUGAAUCUAGUCACAAUAAAAUAAAUGACAAUUGCAUAAAUUUUCUAAAUAAGAUAAAUGGUCAAACGUUGGAUAAAAAGUCAACGGCGUCAUAUAUUAAAAUAUGGAGGUAGUAGUUAUUUUGCUAACAUAGAUGAGAGAUGUGGAAGAGACGUAAAUGAUCGAGUUGUCUCUCUGCACCACAUAUGAGACGACAGAACGAGUACAAGAUACAGUAGAGGUGAGUGAUAUUGAAAUUAUAUUCUUAUAAUAUACUCUCUCUCUCUCUCUGUUUAAAAGGAAUUAACUUUUGUAGUUAUAGUUAUGAAUCUGGACAGCUAGAUUCAUAUACUAUGAAUCGUAUAUAGUUAUUAGCUAGUAAUAAGUCUCCAAUCUAAUAAGUAAAAUUUUGUAUGACCUAAAGACACACAAACCAAAUCUAGAAUCGAAAGUACACGGUCUACUCAAGUAAUUAAGCAAUCAACCUUCACGCCAUAUAUGUGAUUAAAUUGACUAGCUAUAUAGGAGUAUUUGAGAGAUUUGACCACACGGACAAAGUUAUCAAUAUAUUCUGGACAAUCCGUACAAAGCGGGGGAUGCCGUCGCGCUCAUGGCGAUGGAAAAAAAAUGUGCACACGCUUUUUCUGCUGGAUGACUCGGGUUGCCACUGACUUCCUGCAGCCAAAGCAUGCAUGCAAUGGAUGCUUCCUUCAGUUUGCCUUCCUAUCUGGUUU